rnacentral:rRNA from 1 species
GCCUACGGGAGGCAGCAGUAGGGAAUUUUCGUCAAUGGGCGCAAGCCUGAACGAGCAAUGCCGCGUGAACGAGGAAGGUCUUCGGAUCGUAAAGUUCUGUUGAAGGGGAAAAAGAGCGGAGAGAGGAAAUGCUUUCUGAUUGAUAUUACCCUUCGAGGAAGUCACGGCUAACUACGUGCCAGCAGCCGCGGUAAUACGUAGGUGGCGAGCGUCAUCCGGAAUGAUUGGGCGUAAAGGGUGCGUAGGCGGCCUGCUAAGUCUGGAGUGAAAGGUACCGGCUCAACCGGUACAGGCUCUGGAAACUG